UUAGAAGACUGAGAUGAGCCCGACUGC
rnacentral:piRNA from 1 species